ACUUACCUGAUCAAUUUGAUAGAUUAUAUUUUGAUUAGAUCACUAAUUGAUUCGAGCUGACUCAUACCAUUAAGAUAAAUCAGUGUGACUGAUUUUGAUAUCUCUAGAUCUGGCUUAUCUAUAGUCCUCUUCAUGACUUGGUGAAGUCAGUGAAAGGAUUUAUGACUUACUGACUGAUCUCUUUUCUUAUUCUCAAAUAAUUGAAUCAAUUUGAUUGAGUUAGGUGCUCUUGGACUAGCUUAUCUCUAGUCCUCAUCAUGACU
rnacentral:lncRNA from 1 species